CCUACGGGUGGCAGCAGUGAGGAAUAUUGGUCAAUGGCCGGAAGUCUGAACCAGCCAUGCCGCGUGCAGGAUGACGGCUCAAUGCGUUGUAAACUUCUUUUGUCGGGGGAUAAAAUGCCCUACUCGUGCGGUCCUGAAUGUACCCUCCGAAUAAGCAUCGGCUAACUCCGUGCCAGCAGCCGCGGUAAUCCGGGGGAUCCAAGCGUUAUCCGGAUUUAUUGGGUUUAAAGGGUGCGCAGGCGGUGGGUUAAGUCAGGGGGGAAAUACCGGGGCUCAACCCCGGAACUGCCUUUGAUACUGGUGGACUGGAGUGUGGAUGCGGUAGGCGGAAUGUGUGGUGUAGCGGUGAAAUGCAUAGAGAUCACACAGAACACCGAUUGCGAAGGCAGCUUACCAAGCUGUAACUGACGCUGAGGCACGAAAGCGUGGGUAGCAAACAGGAUUAGAUACCCGUGUAGUC
rnacentral:rRNA from 1 species